AUAGUAUCCGAUGAACCAGUAGUUAAAACGGAAAUUUUAGACGAGCCAAAAGAAGAGGACGAGAGUAAUGACAAUUUAUUGAAUUCUGAUAGCAGCCUCGCAUAUGACCCCCUCACCUCUGGCAUGCAAGGUGAGGGGGUUAGUGAGGGAGGGCAGGGAUUUGAUCACCAAAUCCUAACGUCUCAGCCACAAACAAUGGAAGAACUAGUCGCACAAGCCAUGCCAGGGACCUCUGGCAUGCAGGGGGAUUCCCUUGUUGGCUGGGGAGGGAAUCAGGCAGGGGGAGGUGGAGGAGGAGGAGGCAGUGGUAGCGACCUCUCCCGAUUCCCCCUCGAUGCAUUCCAAGUGGAUGACUCCCAAGGGGGUUCUCAGGGCUCCGG